rnacentral:rRNA from 1 species
UACGUAGGGUGCAAGCGUUGUCCGGAAUUAUUGGGCGUAAAGAGCUCGUAGGCGGUCUGUCGCGUCUGCUGUGAAAACUCAGGGCUUAACCCUGAGCUUGCAGUGGGUACGGGGCAGACUAGAGUGCGGUAGGGGAGACUGGAAUUCCCGGUGUAGCGGUGAAAUGCGCAGAUAUCGGGAAGAACACCCGUGGCGAAGGCGGCUCUCUGGGACGGUACUGACGCUGAGACGCGAAAGCGUGGGGAGCGAACAGG